rnacentral:rRNA from 1 species
GCAAGGCUGAAACUCAAAGGAAUUGACGGGGGCCCGCACAAGCGGUGGAGCAUGUGGUUUAAUUCGAAGCAACGCGAAGAACCUUACCAGGUCUUGACAUCCCCUGACAACCCAAGAGAUUGGGCGUUCCCCCUUCGGGGGGACAGGGUGACAGGUGGUGCAUGGUUGUCGUCAGCUCGUGUCGUGAGAUGUUGGGUUAAGUCCCGCAACGAGCGCAACCUUCGCCUCUAGUUGCCAGCAUUCGGUUGGGCACUCUAGAGGGACUGCCGGCGACAAGUCGGAGGAAGGUGGGGAUGACGUCAAAUCAUCAUGCCCCUUAUGACCUGGGCUACACACGUGCUACAAUGGGCGGUACAAAGGGCUGCGAACCCGCGAGGGGGAGCGAAUCCCAAAAAGCCGCUCUCAGUUCGGAUUGCAGGCUGCAACUCGCCUGCAUGAAGC